rnacentral:rRNA from 1 species
AUUGAACGCUGGCGGCAGGCCUAACACAUGCAAGUCGAGCGGAUGAAGGGAGCUUGCUCCUGGAUUCAGCGGCGGACGGGUGAGUAAUGCCUAGGAAUCUGCCUGGUAGUGGGGGAUAACGUCCGGAAACGGGCGCUAAUACCGCAUACGUCCUGAGGGAGAAAGUGGGGGAUCUUCGGACCUCACGCUAUCAGAUGAGCCUAGGUCGGAUUAGCUAGUUGGUGGGGUAAAGGCCUACCAAGGCGACGAUCCGUAACUGGUCUGAGAGGAUGAUCAGUCACACUGGAACUGAGACACGGUCCAGGCUCCUACGGGAGGCAGCAGUGGGGAAUAUUGGACAAUGGGCGAAAGCCUGAUCCAGCCAUGCCGCGUGUGUGAAGAAGGUCUUCGGAUUGUAAAGCACUUUAAGUUGGGAGGAAGGGCAGUAAGUUAAUACCUUGCCGUUUUGACGUUACCAACAGAAUAAGCACCGGCUAACUUCGU